rnacentral:rRNA from 1 species
CCCUUAGAUGUCCGGGGCCGCACGCGCGCUACAAUGGAUGAAUCAACGCGUCAUCCUGGCCCGAAAGGGUUGGGGAACCGCUGAACCUCAUCCGUGGUUGGGAUUGGGGUUUGUAAUUAUUCCCCAUGAACUAGGAAUUCCCAGUAAGCGCGAGUCAUAAGCUCGCGUUGAUUACGUCCCUGCCCUUUGUACACACCGCCCGUCGCUACUACCGAUUGGAUGGUUUAGUGAGAUCCUCAGAUUGGUCACGGCACGGUGGCAACACUGCGUCGGUGUGCCGAGAAGACGAUCAAACUUGAUCAUCUAGAGGAAGUAAAAGUCGUAACA